GCUUUCAUUAAUCUUCCUUCAGCCUACCUUCCAUGCUUGCUUCUGACCGAGGAGGAGGAGGGGAUGUAUGUUAUAUGAAUACAGGAUAUACUUUACUUUGUUUCACAAGCAGUUCUCCGUGGAAAAAGUUACUGGAUUCCAGUGUUUAUGAAACUCGGUGCUUGAGAACUGAUCAACAUAGAUGGAUGACUAAUAAGUGAGGUUGAUAUUUGGAGAAGAAACACUAAACAUGAGAAAAAGCUGAACUUUUUCAGCUGUGCUGACCAAUGCAAUCCUUUGACAUGCACAGGUGGCCUUCUUUACCCUUUCAUGUUCUUCGGACAUCACAGACCUG
rnacentral:lncRNA from 1 species